GUCCCAGGCUGGCAGUGCUGCAGCUAUGCAGGUAGUGCAUAUAAGGGUGCGCUGUGCCUGCACCAGGCCCUUGCACACUGAAGAGGGGGAAACUGGAGAAGAAAGACUGCAGGGGAUAAACAAUAUGAGAGGAGGAGCAAUAUGCCUUCAGUCACUGCAGUGGAAGAGAUCUUUAGGUUCCACCAGUUAUGAAUCAGGAGAGGAAAUCUGAUGACACUUUAUGUUGUGGAUUAGGUUCUGCCUGUACC